rnacentral:rRNA from 1 species
GUAAGUCAGUUGUGAAAGUUUGCGGCUCAACCGUAAAAUUGCAGUUGAUACUGUCAGUCUUGAGUACAGUAGAGGUGGGCGGAAUUCGUGGUGUAGCGGUGAAAUGCUUAGAUAUCACGAAGAACUCCGAUUGCGAAGGCAGCUCACUGGACUGCAACUGACACUGAUGCUCGAAAGUGUGGGUAUCAAACAGGAUUAGAUACCCUGGUAGUCCACACAGUAAACGAUGAAUACUCGCUGUUUGCGAUAUACAGUAAGCGGCCAAGCGAAAGCAUUAAGUAUUCCACCUGGGGAGUACGCCGGCAACGGUGAAACUCAAAGGAAUUGACGGGGGCCCGCACAAGCGGAGGAACAUGUGGUUUAAUUCGAUGAUACGCGAGGAACCUUACCCGGGCUUAAAUUGCAGUGGAAUGAUGUGGAAACAUGUCAGUGAGCAAUCACCGCUGUGAAGGUGCUGCAUGGUUGUCGUCAGCUCGUGCCGUGAGGUGUCGGCUUAAGUGCCAUAACGAGCGCAACCCUUAUCUUCAGUUACUAACAGGUCAUGCUGAGGACUCUGGAGAGACUGCCGUCGUAAGAUGUGAGGAAGGUGGGGAUGACGUCAAAUCAGCACGGCCCUUACGUCCGGGGCUACACACGUGUUACAAUGGGGGGUACAGAAGGCAGCUAGCGGGUGACCGUAUGCUAAUCCCAAAAUCCUCUCUCAGUUCGGAUCGAAGUCUGCAACCCGACUUCGUGAAGCUGGAUUCGCUAGUAAUCGCGCAUCAGCCACGGCGCGGUGAAUACGUUCCCGGGCCUUGUACACACCGCCCGUCAAGCCAUGGGAGCCGGGGGUACCUGAAGUACGUAACCGCAAGGAUCGUCCUAGGGUAAAACUGGUGACUGGGGCUAAGUCGUAACAAGGUAACC